GGAUGAACGCUGGCGGCGUGCCUAAUACAUGCAAGUCAAGCGAACAGACGAGGAGCUUGCUCCUUCGACGUUAGCGGCGGACGGGUGAGUAACACGUAGGUAACCUACCUAUAAGACUGGGAUAACUUCGGGAAACCGGAGCUAAUACCGGAUAAUAUUUCGAACCGCAUGGUUCGAUAGUGAAAGAUGGCUUUGCUAUCACUUAUAGAUGGACCUGCGCCGUAUUAGCUAGUUGGUAAGGUAACGGCUUACCAAGGCAACGAUACGUAGCCGACCUGAGAGGGUGAUCGGCCACACUGGAACUGAGACACGGUCCAGACUCCUACGGGAGGCAGCAGUAGGGAAUCUUCCGCAAUGGGCGAAAGCCUGACGGAGCAACGCCGCGUGAGUGAUGAAGGUCUUCGGAUCGUAAAACUCUGUUAUUAGGGAAGAACAAACGUGUAAGUAACUGUGCACGUCUUGACGGUACCUAAUCAGAAAGCCACGGCUAACUACGUG
rnacentral:rRNA from 1 species